ACGAACGCUGGCGGCAUGCCUAACACAUGCAAGUCGAACGAGACCUUCGGGUCUAGUGGCGCACGGGUGCGUAACGCGUGGGAACCUGCCCUUAGGUUCGGAAUAACUCCCCGAAAGGGGUGCUAAUACCGGAUAAUGUCUUCGGACCAAAGAUUUAUCGCCUUUGGAUGGGCCCGCGUUGGAUUAGCUAGUUGGUAGGGUAAAAGCCUACCAAGGCGACGAUCCAUAGCUGGUCUGAGAGGAUGAUCAGCCACACUGGGACUGAGACACGGCCCAGACUCCUACGGGAGGCAGCAGUGGGGAAUAUUGGAAAAUGGGCGAAAGCCUGAUCCAGCAAUGCCGCGUGAGUGAUGAAGGCCUUAGGGUUGUAAAGCUCUUUUACCCGGGAUGAUAAUGACAGUACCGGGAGAAUAAGCUCCGGCUAACUCCGUG
rnacentral:rRNA from 1 species